GACGAACGCUGGCGGCGUGCUUAACACAUGCCAGUCGAACGGAAAGGCCCCUUUGGGGGUCCUCGAGUGGCGAACGGGUGAGUAACACGUGAGUAACCUGCCCUUGACUUCGGGAUAACUUCAGGAAACUGGGGCUAAUACCGGAUAGGAAUCCUUGCUGCAUGGUGGGGGUUGGAAAGCUUCGGCGGUUUUGGAUGGACUCGCGGCUUAUCAGCUUGUUGGUGGGGUAGUGGCUUACCAAGGCUUUGACGGGUAGCCGGCCUGAGAGGGCGACCGGCCACAUUGGGACUGAGAUACGGCCCAGACUCCUACGGGAGGCAGCAGUGGGGAAUAUUGCACAAUGGGCGGAAGCCUGAUGCAGCAACGCCGCGGGCGGGAUGACGGCCUUCGGGUUGUAAACCGCUUUCAGCAGGGGCGAAGCUUGUGGUGACGGUACCUGCAGAAGAAGCACCGGCUAACUACGUG
rnacentral:rRNA from 1 species